rnacentral:rRNA from 1 species
UGGGGAAUUUUGGACAAUGGGCGAAAGCCUGAUCCAGCAAUGCCGCGUGUGUGAAGAAGGCCUUCGGGUUGUAAAGCACUUUUGUCCGGAAAGAAAUUUCUCUGGGUUAAUACCUCGGGGGGAUGACGGUACCGGAAGAAUAAGCACCGGCUAACUACGUGCCAGCAGCCGCGGUAAUACGUAGGGUGCAAGCGUUAAUCGGAAUUACUGGGCGUAAAGCGUGCGCAGGCGGUUUUGUAAGACGGAUGUGAAAUCCCCGGGGCUUAACCUGGGAACUGCAUUCGUGACUGCAAGGCUAGAGUAUGGCAGAGGGGGGUAGAAUUCCACGUGUAGCAGUGAAAUGCGUAGAGAUGUGGAGGAAUACCGAUGGCGAAGGCAGCCCCCUGGGCCAAUACUGACGCUCAUGCACGAAAGCGUGGGGGAGCAAACAGGAUUAGGAUACCCUGGUAGUCCACGCCCUAAACGAUGUCAACUAGUUGUUGGGGAUUCAUUUCCUUAGUAACGUAGCUAACGCGUGAAGUUGACCGCCUGGGGAGUACGGUCG